AUGGCGAAGCAGGCGUUGCUGGCGGUGAUCUUGGUGCAUAUCUGCGGCGUCAUGGCGGCCGCGAGCAGGACGCUGCGCGGGGACGACUGGCUGGAGGACAGCGUUCAGACGGUGGUGAUGCAGAUCUUCGGCGGCUCCAAGUCCGGGGGAAGCGGCGGCACACACUGCUGCUGA
rnacentral:rRNA from 1 species